CAGCCGCCACGGGAAUACGAAGGGUGCAAGCGUUAAUCGGAAUUACUGGCGUAAAGCGUGCGUAGGCGGUUUGUUAAGUCUGUUGUGAAAUCCCCGGGCUCAACCUGGGAAUGGCAAUGGAUACUGGCAAGCUAGAGUGUGUCAGAGGAUGGUGGAAUUCCCGGUGUAGCGGUGAAAUGCGUAGAGAUCGGGAGGAACAUCUGUGGCGAAGGCGACUAUCUGGGCCAACACUGACACUGAGGCACGAAAGCGUGGGGAGCAAACAGGAUUAGAUACCCCCGUAGUCCCUGUCUCUUAUACA
rnacentral:rRNA from 1 species